GGUAUUACUGCUCUGUGAAGUAGGAAAAACAACUCCUACUUUGCAUAAUCAAUAAGACCAGAAGGGGUAAUGGAAACCAGAGCGUGCGUCACCUACAGGACUCCAGGUGCAUGGCGCGGUUGUUGACGGGAGUCCGGCACACGCAAAGGGACAGCGAGAAAUAUUUUUGGCCUUGUGGACCUUCCCAUCAAAGGCUUGCAGUGGCCACACGACUGUGCAACUACUCACCUCUGCCCUGGCAGCGGGGAAGCAGCCACGGAGCAGACCUACAGCCAACAGGGAUGCGCUCCCGUCAAACUCCCGUCAAACUUCGCUUACGGACACUCAACGCCAUAGAGGACACGAACACUCCUGCCCGAAGGGAACAAUAAAGCUUUCGCCAUUCAACAGCGCCGGAGACGCCAGAAGGCGGCCAUCUUGAGGCCGGCGCGGAAAGAUCUGAGGGGCUUGGAGUGGUGACCAUUCUGCCCCUUCCUGCCGAGUGGGGGCCUAGAUCUGGACCAGAGGAAUGAAGCUGGCACUCGCUGGGAAACCCAGGAAGGGGACAAAGCUGGGUCUUUAAACCAUGGCGGAGGCAUGUACAGGGAAAAGAGCCACGUGCCUGAGACUCAAAGUAGAAGUGCCAUCAUAGACCACGACGCAGAUGGUUAAGUGACUCCACCGUCCACGGACUUCUGGGGAAAAAAACAUAUUUGGGAUCCAUGAAGAGAGUCUUUUCCUUGUCCCUCCUUAAUAGAGGGCUCUUGUCGAAGCUGUGUCCUGCCUUCUGUGUGGGGUGACCACAGGGCCCUUCCUCCACCACCUCUCACUCAUGUUUUCAUAGAGUUAACAAAAUGACUCCAUUUUUAAAAAUCUGACAAUUUACCUGCUUGUCUCUGAAUGAUUUCCUCUGAAGACAUUGCUUCCUGUGGUUUAGGUUCUGAUCGUCCCUCAUUUCUGAAUUGACUUGAGUGUUGGUCUGCUCUGUCCUGCGGCUCAGGGCAGCGAUACACAACCAGGAGCCAUGUCCAAAACCCUUUGAGCCACAUUCAAGCAACAGAGAGCCUAGGGGUGACUCUGAGGCUAAGCUCACCUGGGCCAUGUCCUCUGUGGACAAUGGCAUCUUCUCAAAACACUGAGCCCCGUCUUUUUAUUAGGAGUUGUACUCCAGCAGAAUUUUGAGAGGCAGAAGUUACAAAGUUUUACAAGGAAAAUACAAACCCAAACCAGCAAGAGCAAAAUAAAUCCAGUUUGUAUAAAAUGUCUGAACCAAGAAGAAUGAUUUUAAUUAUACUAGUUUUUACCAAAGAUGAUUUUUAAAAAAAAAAAUAUUGUAAAAUAAAUUUAAUAUUUCCUGAAA